GGAGAGUUGGCAGAGAGGCUUAUUGCAUCAGUCUUGAAAACUGAAGGCGGUAACACGUCCAAGGGUUCGAAUCCCUUACUCUCCU
rnacentral:tRNA from 1 species